rnacentral:rRNA from 1 species
GUAGGUGGCAAGCGUUGUCCGGAAUUAUUGGGCGUAAAGCGCGCGCAGGCGGGGGUUUUUAAGUCUGAUGUGAAAGCCCACGGGCUCAACCGUGGAGGGUCAUUGGAAACUGGAGAACUUGAGUACAGAAGAGGAAAGCGGAAUUCCACGUGUAGCGGUGAAAUGCGUAGAGAUGUGGAGGAACACCAGUGGCGAAGGCGGCUUUCUGGUCUGUAACUGACGCUGAGGCGCGAAAGCGUGGGGAGCAAACAGGAUUAGAUACCCUGGUAGUCCACGCCGUAAACGAUGAGUGCUAAGUGUUAGGGGGUUUCCGCCCCUUAGUGCUGCAGCUAACGCAUUAAGCACUCCGCCUGGGGAGUACGGCCGCAAGGCCG